GUCCACUGCAUCCCCCUUAGCCUGGCAAAGUAAUAAAGCCCCCCUUUUCUACUUCACCCAAAACUCCAUCUUUGAGGUUUAAUUCAACACCUGUGUACAGAGAAGCUGAGCUUUUGGCAUCAGGAAUCUCCAUGGACAGCAGAAGCAGAGAGCUGCGCACAGGCCCACCCACCUCCAAACUGAGAGCAUCUUCAUAUGCAAAGGAAACCGCAGCCACCCAGGAUAGGAGGAAAAAACCAUGACAGUGGCGAUGUUGGCCAACCACGAUGGAAUUCGUACCAUGAGCAGGUGCUGCUAUGGCUGCUUCACAAACAUUAUCGCAUUAAAGCCUCAGGGCUCCCUUGCGAAGUGGGUGUGACUGUCCCUGCCACCAAGCUGAGACAGUGGAA